AAGAUGCCGACACUCUCCUUUCUUUGUCUAACCCUAAAGAAGACGACACUCAUCUACCACUCUUUCUCUUACAAACGCAUAUACUCUUUCUCAUAAUUGAUAACCUCCUACAAACUGAAGAAGAGAUAUGACGUCCUUAGAUGAUCCGUUUAACAUCCAAACGCAGCAUCCACGCGUACAACCUUCAACAAUAGAAACCAUUAGCGACCACCACGACCACCGAAUCCUUCUGAUCUACAACCCCUAUCCCUCAUCUAGAUCUACAUGACGAUUGGAGAAACCCAACAGGGUUAUGUUGAGGAUGUGUUGGUUCUUAUUGGUUGCUGCUUCUCUUGUUGCUGAAACGCGUCUGCUUCUUAAUUUACAGGUUUUCAAUCUUUCUUUUAGUUAAAUUUUCAUCCUCUAUAUCUAUAUCUCUACCAUAUACCUAACAGAAAACCCCUAACCCAAAGAUUUAUUGUAUAAUUUUCAGAAAUUUGAAGGAGAGAUCAGCAGGAAGUUCUUGUUUAUUCAUAAUUGCAUCUGUAUUCGAAAGUGGUUAGGGUUCAGUUGGUUUAAUUUCAUAGAUCGACGAACCCUAGAAAUACUAACAUUCACGCCUCCGAUGCAAUAAAUUCUUAAUAAAACGUAUGUAUCAAAUCCAUAAUUUUGAACUUUUUAGUUCUAUACCUUAACAUCACUUAAUUUAUCUAUUUGGAUUUCAAUGUGGGUUUUGAAUAUCCAUUCACAGAUUGUACAGUUUAAGGAUUUAAUGUACGAAGCAUUAACAAUUGAAGAAAGUUGGGACAGAGAUGAAGAUAUGAAAUAAUUUAUCCACUGAUUACUCAAUCCUCAGUGCCUUCACUCUCGUUGUUUCUCCAUCUUCAGUUCUAUUACCGGUGAUUAACAUAAAAAG
rnacentral:lncRNA from 1 species